rnacentral:rRNA from 1 species
UACAGAGGUCCCAAGCGUUGUUCGGAUUCAUUGGGCGUAAAGGGUGCGUAGGCGGCGCGGUAAGUCGGGUGUGAAAUCUCGGGGCUUAACUCCGAAACUGCAUUCGAUACUGCCGUGCUUGAGGACUGGAGAGGAGACUGGAAUUUACGGUGUAGCGGUGAAAUGCGUAGAUAUCGUAAGGAAGACCAGUGGCGAAGGCGGGUCUCUGGACAGUUCCUGACGCUGAGGCACGAAGGCCAGGGAAGCAAACGGG